rnacentral:rRNA from 1 species
AACUAACGCUGGCGGCGUGCCUAACACAUGCAAGUCGUACGAGAAAGUUGGCUUCGGCUGAUGAGUAAAGUGGCGCACGGGUGAGUAACGCGUGGAUAAUCUGCCUUUUAGUUGGGAAUAACGUACCGAAAGGUGCGCUAAUACCGGAUAAUACUGCAUAACUACUGUUGUGUAGUCAAAGAAGGCCUCUGUUUACAAGCUUUUGCUGAAAGAUGAGUCCGCGUACCAUUAGCUAGUUGGUAGGGUAAUGGCCUACCAAGGCUACGAUGGUUAGCUGGUCUGAGAGGAUGAUCAGCCACACUGGAACUGAGACACGGUCCAGACUCCUACGGGAGGCAGCAGUGAGGAAUAUUGCGCAAUGGGGGCAACCCUGACGCAGCAACGCCGCGUGAGUGAGGAAGGUUUUCGGACCGUAAAGCUCUGUCGAGCGGGAAGAAAUGUAUCGUGGCUAAUAUUCCAUGAUAUUUGACGGUACCGCUAAAGGAAGCACCGG